rnacentral:RNase_P_RNA from 1 species
CGAGACGGCUAGGCGGUCGCGUCAGUGACAGAGUUCUGUCGCUGCCGAGGAACGUCCGGGCUCCUCAGGGCAGGGUGGUUGCUAACGGCAACCCGAGGUGACUCGCGGGACAGUGCCACAGAAAACAGACCGCCGGUCUUCGGAUCGGUAAGGGUGAAACGGUGGUGUAAGAGACCACCAGCGCCGCAGGUGACUGCGGCGGCUAGGUAAACCCCACCCGGAGCAAGGUCAAGAGGAGCCGCAAGGCUCUGCGCGAAGGUUCGAGGGCGGCCCGCCCGAACCCCUCGGGGUGCCUUCGCGGGUAGACCGCUCGAGCGCGUCGGCAACGGCGCGCCUAGAUGGAUGGCCGUCCACGACAGGACCCGGCGUACCGGCCGUCUCGUCUC